AUAGCUCAGUUGGUAGAGCACGACCUUGCCAAGGUCGGGGUCGCGAGUUCNNNNNNACAAGAGUAUAUGACCAUUAAAACUUUAGCCGCAGGUGCUAAUGGCUAUGUUUUAAAAAGCAGUAGUCAGCAAGUUCUGUUAGCG
rnacentral:tRNA from 1 species